rnacentral:rRNA from 1 species
GACGUAGGGCGCGAGCGUUGUCCGGAUUUAUUGGGCGUAAAGAGCUCGUAGGCGGCUUGUCGCGUCGUCCGUGAAAACUUGGGGCUCAACCCCGAGCUUGCGGUCGAUACGGGCAGGCUAGAGUUCGGUAGGGGAGACUGGAAUUCCUGGUGUAGCGGUGAAAUGCGCAGAUAUCAGGAGGAACACCGGUGGCGAAGGCGGGUCUCUGGACCGAUACUGACGCUGAGGAGCGAAAGCGUGGGGAGCGAACAGG